ensembl:Mt_tRNA
CAGAAAAUAGUUUAAGUAAAAUUCUGGCUUUGGGAGUCAGGGAUAGAGAUUAAAAUUCUUUUUUUCUGA